UGAGAAAAUACACAGUGAUUAUGAUGAUGAUGUCGUGUGGUUUCCACUGUGAACAACAGUCUAUUUCAGAUAUGGUAGAGGCCAGAAACAUGUCUUGAGCUCCUAUUCUCAAGUUCUUUACAUUCUAACAUAAGAAAGAAUACAUGCAGAUGAGACACUAUAAUUUUAACAGUUCCCCACAAUUACAAUGUUGCAAGAAUGGCCUGUUUUGAAUGGACCAGUUUGGGGGGCUUACCCUUUAAAACAUUAAAAUUAUUUCUUAUUUUAAUCAUUUUUAAUGAAUAUCUUUCACACAUGCAUUUUACAUUUUCUGACAUCUUACAUAGUAUGAAGGAAAACAUUUAAGCUUUCCUGUAUGACUCAGUCAUCACUGGGAGUGUCAGUUAAUUGCAUUGUUCUAUAACGGGACCAGUUGUAUUUGAAGCAAUUUAGGCUGACGCUAAAUUGUCCUAUUGAUUGACAUUGUUCUCUCUUGUUCUCUGCUGGCAUUUGCCAUGAUUUUUAAUCUUUGUGCCUAUGAUGAUAUCUCUCCCUUCUUCUAAUUUGCUGCUUCCAAUCUGCUAUCGACUGAGAAACCAGAUAACAAAGCUUGUAAAAACUAUGCACAACAUGCAAUCACAUAAGCCUGAUGAGAACUUGAGCAAAACCCAUUUUUCUGCAUUUUUUCCCUUUCUCAGAGCAAUGCGAUUUCAAUGCCCCCAUAAGUAGUGUUUCUUUCAUUUUGUAGAUUACUAAGUAAAGAACGACAGUAUACUUUUAUACAAAAUGGAGGCACUUCCAACAAGUGAGGCCAAGUGGUGCCUUGGCUCUCUAUGUGAACAAAGGUUUCCUGAUAGUCCCAGUCAAGAAAGCCAGUGGGAGGAUGGAGUGAUCAUACAGCACAAGGCAAUCUAGAUGUGUGGGCUCAGAAGGACCUCCCUGUGGCAGUUAGGACCAUUGUCACACUGGAUAUGGCAAUUUAGUUUCAGCAAGAUGUCCCUAGCCAAUGAAGUUUAUGUUAGUAACUGUAGUUUUUAAAUUUUAUAUUCUUUGCUAUUUGAUUUCUAAAUUUUAUAAUUUAAAAAUACCUAUAAUGUGGGAUGCUUAUACAUAGGUUCAUAUGGUGUGUGUAGUUGCAGUAAGCGUGCUUGUGCACGGGGAAGCAUUUUAUUUUGACAAGUAAGAAUAACUUUCGAGUAAGCUUCGGCCCUAUCUGUCAAAUUAUGCUCAUUUCAGUUUUCUGCUCAUGUUAAGGAGAAAGCUUUCAAUUCUGCCUGUCUGGGGACUUCUUUUUCCUUCAGCCUUUGCACUGGCAGUGUUCAAUUUUGCUUUGUGAUGCAAUGUAGCAUAAUAGCCAAGAAAUGGGCUCUGGGGUCAGGCAAUGUGGGUUUGAAUCUCACUUCUAACAAAUCACUAGUUACGUGGCCUUGAGCAAGUUAAACUCUGUGUGUCUCAGUUUCCUCCUCCAUUCAGCAGAGAUAACACAUUAUAUACCUGCUAGGGUUCUUGUGGGGAUUAGAUGAUUAGAUUCAUACAAAAUGUUAAGAACAGAGCCUGGCAAAAAAAAUGAGUGCUUCUUAAAUGUUGGCUAUUGAUAUUCUGGCUUUUCUGUCAUUCCAGAGCCUCGAAGCAUAAAAUGAUGCUGA
rnacentral:lncRNA from 10 species